rnacentral:rRNA from 1 species
GACGAACGCUGGCGGCGUGCUUAACACAUGCAAGUCGAACGGACAGACAGAGAGCUUGCUCUCUUGAAGUUAGUGGCGAACGGGUGAGUAACGCGUAAUCAACCUGCCCUUCAGAGGGGGAUAACAACGGGAAACCGUUGCUAAUACCGCGUACGAUUCAUGAACGGCAUCGUUUAUGAAUGAAAGGUGGCCUCUAUGUAUAAGCUAUCGCUGAAGGAGGGGAUUGCGUCUGAUUAGCUAGUUGGAGGGGUAACGGCCCACCAAGGCAAUGAUCAGUAGCCGGUCUGAGAGGAUGAACGGCCACAUUGGGACUGAGACACGGCCCAAACUCCUACGGGAGGCAGCAGUGGGGAAUCUUCCGCAAUGGACGAAAGUCUGACGGAGCAAUGCCGCGUGAGUGAUGAAGGUCUUCGGAUUGUAAAGCUCUGUUAAUCGGGACGAAAGAGUUCUGCGUGAAUAAUGCGGAAAAGUGACGGUACCGGGAUAGAAAGCCACGGCUAACUACGUGCCAGCCGCCGCGGUAA